UACGGAGGGUGCAAGCGUUAUCCGGAUUCACUGGGUUUAAAGGGCGCGUAGGUGGGCAGGUAAGUCAGUGGUGAAAUCUCCGAGCUUAACUCGGAAACUGCCGUUGAUACUAUUUGUCUUGAAUAUUGUGGAGGUAAGCGGAAUAUGUCAUGUAGCGGUGAAAUGCUUAGAUAUGACAUAGAACACCAAUUGCGAAGGCAGCUUACUACACAACGAUUGACGCUGAGGCACGAAAGCGUGGGGAUCAAACAGG
rnacentral:rRNA from 1 species